AGGGUUUGAUUAUGGCUCAGGAUGAACGCUAGCGACAGGCUUAACACAUGCAAGUCGAGGGGCAGCGAGGGAGUGGCAACACUUCUGUCGGCGACCGGCGCACGGGUGAGUAACGCGUAUGCAACCUGCCCUUCACAGGGGGAUAACCGGGAGAAAUUCCGACUAAUACCGCAUACGUCCUCCGGGGGCAUCCCCGGGGGAUGAAAGAAUUAUCGGUGAAGGAUGGGCAUGCGUGAUAUUAGGUAGUUGGCGGGGCAACGGCCCACCAAGCCCACGAUAUCUAGGGGUUCUGAGAGGAAGGUCCCCCACAUUGGUACUGAGACACGGACCAA
rnacentral:rRNA from 1 species